GGCCUCUUUAGCGUAGUGGUAUCGCGCGCCUUCAUAAAGAUUGAAACGCGGGUUCGAGUUCCGCCUGAGGUCG